rnacentral:SRP_RNA from 1 species
GGUUGGGUUUCAUGCGCUGGUGGCCCGUGAACUCCGCGAGAUCCGGAAGGAAGCAGCGGUGACGAGGUACCCCAGGCGCCGUGGAGUGCCUGACCUUC